AGCUUGCUUCUCUGAUGUUAGCGGCGGACGGGUGAGUAACACGUGGAUAACCUACCUAUAAGACUGGGAUAACUUCGGGAAACCGGAGCUAAUACCGGAUAAUAUUUUGAACCGCAUGGUUCAAAAGUGAAAGACGGUCUUGCUGUCACUUAUAGAUGGAUCCGCGUUGCAUUAGCUGGUUGGUAAGGUAACGGCUUACCAAGGCAACGAUGCAUAGCCGACCUGAGAGGGUGAUCGGCCACACUGGAACUGAGACACGGUCCAGACUCCUACGGGAGGCAGCAGUAGGGAAUCUUCCGCAAUGGGCGAAAGCCUGACGGAGCAACGCCGCGUGAGUGAUGAAGGUCUUCGGAUCGUAAAACUCUGUUAUUAGGGAAGAACAUAUGUGUAAGUAACUGUGCACAUCUUGACGGUACCUAAUCAGAAAGCCACGGCUAACUACGUGCCAGCAGCCGCGGUAAUACGUAGGUGGCAAGCGUUAUCCGGAAUUAUUGGGCGUAAAGCGCGCGUAGGCGGUUUUUUAAGUCUGAUGUGAAAGCCCACGGCUCAACCGUGGAGGGUCAUUGGAAACUGGAAAACUUGAGUGCAGAAGAGGAAAGUGGAAUUCCAUGUGUAGCGGUGAAAUGCGCAGAGAUAUGGAGGAACACCAGUGGCGAAGGCGACUUUCUGGUCUGUAACUGACGCUGAUGUGCGAAAGCGUGGGGAUCAAACAGGAUUAGAUACCCUGGUAGUCCACGCCGUAAACGAUGAGUGCUAAGUGUUAGGGGGUUUCCGCCCCUUAGUGCUGCA
rnacentral:rRNA from 1 species